CAUUUACAUGAAAGAAAAAAGUUUAGCAGUGACUUUGAUAGAAAGCUCACUUGGGCCUAACAACACAAAUGCAUAUAAGGCAUUAUCAGCUACUUUCUGGCAUCUAACUAGUUGUUUAA
ensembl:snRNA